AUCUAACUGACCAGUCCCAAAAAGGACGAAAUUCGCGUCCUGGAU
rnacentral:hammerhead_ribozyme from 1 species